GACUCGGUGGCGGAUGGUUCGCGUCUGCGGGACAUUCUGAUCCUUCUGAUCUUUCAGUAGCAGUCGCCCGUUCGAUUCGGGCCCGAGUCA